rnacentral:lncRNA from 1 species
AACUUGGAUUCCAUAUACCACCACAGUAGAAAAUUCAGUAUUCGUUACGAGGGAAACUUUCCUUUUCCGUCUUCGGUGCUGCGUGGGAUGGUCUAUUUGUGUCACUGAUUCUUUGAUUUGAAAUCUCUCGAAGAGAGUAAGUACUUUCUUUCUACAUCUUGAUCAACAUUGUUUUUCUUCUUCCUUUAGUAGUCAGUGAAGACCCGUUGAAAAAUUCAGUCUCUCUUUUCUCUCUCGAAAUUUUAUGGAAAAACUUUGGUUUGUGGGUCUUGAUUAAAGAAAGGUUCUUUUUCCAUUUCAGUCUUGUAAUUGGGAACUUAAAAAUCUGAUACUGUAAGAGACGGCCUUUACGUAUAAGUUAUUGCUUGGGAAUUUUUUAUUUAUUUAUUUCUGUGAUUUUUGAGGUGUUUUGGGAUGUGGGUUUGAAGUUUCUUCGUAUGGGAGUGCUGAUUUAUUAUUUAUCUCACUCUGAUAUAGGCUCUAAAGUUCAAGAUAUUUGGAUUUUGGGGGGUUUGGUUUGUGGUGGGUACUGUAAUUCUGACAGGUUUUUCACUGUCUGUAAUUGCUUCACUUACAUGUUGAUUCGGUCUUUCUUCUGUGUUCUGAAAUGUGGGAUAAAAUUUCUCAUAUGGGUUUUUUAAUGUAUUUUUGUUAAACGAACCAGAACAUUUCUCUCAGGUAAAGAUUGAAAUCUUCAGUUUGUGUCUGGGGAUUCAGUCCGUGAGAGACUGUGGAUUUCAAUUUUUUCUUAUUAGCGCUGGUUCUUGCUUCACUACAAGUGAUAUGGUUUGGACCUUGUGAUCGCUGAGGCAGAUUUUGUGAGAUGUGAGGGAGAAAAGUUUCUUCAUGUGAAAUUCUUCUUAAUUUGAGUUGCCAGUCUACUUUGGUUUCGAUAAUGGCCUGCCAACGGAUGACUUUCCUGCACUUGAUGUUCUUUGCUUGUUUUGCCGCUUUAUCAUUGGCUCUUGAAACGCCAAACCGAAACUGUAAUCCAAAUGAUAUUUCAGCAUUGAGGGAAUUUGCAGCCCAACUGCUAAAUGGUUCCAUCAAAUUAACUUGGUCCAAUGAAUCCAAUUGCUGUAAAUGGAAUGGUGUUGUUUGCAAAGAUGAUGAUGGCAAUAUGUCAGCCACACGUAGAGUGACGGAGUUGAACUUGUCUGGGGAAGGUCUAAGGGGAAACUUUUCGGAGUCCUUGGUCAAAUUGGAUGGAUUAGAAGUGCUUGAUCUUUCACACAAUUUUCUGGAAGGUAGAUUGCCCUUGAAUUUCUCUAAUUUGAAGCAGCUGGAAGUUCUUGAUUUAAGCCACAACAUAUUGUCUGGACCAGUACUUGNAGCACUUGUUGGGUUGAAAACGAUUCAAUCAGUCAACCUCUCAAGCAAUUCUUUCAUUGGAAACUUCACUGAUCUUGGGGAGUUUCCAUAUCUUACUGAGUUCAACAUGAGUAACAACUUGUUUACUGGUGAAUUCGGUUCCAAAAUUUGCAGUUUCUCCCAGGAUAUUCGGGUUCUGGAUUUAUCUUCGAAUCAUUUUUUUGGUGCACUUGAAGGCUUGGAAACUUGCAGCAGCACAUCUCUCCGGCAGUUCCACGUGGAUUUCAAUUCUCUUUCUGGCCAACUUCCUGACUCCUUAUACUCGUUAUCAUCCCUGGAGCAGCUUUCAGUCUCUGCCAAUGAUUUCUCUGGCCAGCUAAGUCANNNNNNNNNNNNNAAUAUCUCUAAUUUGAAGCAGCUGGAAGUUCUUGAUUUAAGCCACAACAUGUUGUCUGGACCAAUACUGGGAGCUCUUGUGGGGUUGAAAAGGAUUCAGUCAGUCAACCUCUCGAGCAAUUCUUUCACUGGAAACUUCACUGAUCUUGGGGUGUUUCCAAGUCUCAUUGCAUUCAACAUAAGUAACAACAUGUUUACUGGUGAAUUUGGCUCCAAAAUCUGCAGUUUCUCCCCCAACAUUCAAGUUCUGGAUUUAUCAUCAAAUCAUUUUUAUGGUAAACUUGAAGGCUUGGAGACUUGCAGUAGCACAUCUCUCCAGCAGUUCCAUGUGGAUUUCAAUACUCUUUCAGGCCAACUUCCAGACUCCUUGUACUUGUUAUCCUCCCUGGAGCAGCUUUCACUCUCAGCCAAUAAUUUCUCUGGCCUGCUAAGCCAUAAACUCAGUAAGCUUUCCAACCUCAAAGCCUUCUUUCUAUGCAGGAACGGAUUUUAUGGUUCUUUUCCUAAUGUUUUUGGGAAUUUAACUCAACUCGAGCAGUUAGUUGCUCAUUCAAAUUCAUUCUCUGGACCACUGCCUUCAACUCUGGCACUCUGCACUAAAUUACGAGUGCUUGAUUUGCGGAACAACACUCUUUCUGGUGCAAUUGAUCUUGAUUUCACUAGAUUGCCUAAUCUCUAUAAUCUUGAUCUUGCAAGUAAUCGUUUUUCUAGUCCCUUGCCAGAAUCAUUAUCUAGUUGCCGGGAAUUAAAGAUUUUGAGUCUUGCCAAGAACAAGUUAACAGGCCAGAUCCCUGAAAGCUAUGCCAAUCUCACAUCUCUUACGUUUCUCUCGUUGUCAAACAACAGCCUUGUAAACUUAUCUGGAGGGUUGUCCGUUUUGAAGCAUUGCAGAAAUCUUAGCAUUCUUAUUCUCACUAAGAAUUUCCAUGGGGAAGAAAUUCCCAAAAAUGUGAGUGGGUUUGAGAGCUUAAUGCUUUUUGCACUUGGAAAUUGUGGCCUGAAUGGUCAAAUACCAGAUUGGUUGUGGAGUUGCACAAAAUUGCGAAUCCUUGACUUGUCCUGGAAUCGUUUGGAUGGCAGUAUCCCUUCCCAGAUUGGUUGGAUGGAGAAUUUGUUCUACCUGGAUUUUUCAAAUAAUUCGCUAACAGGAGAAAUCCCGAAAGGUUUGACUGAGCUGAAGAGCCUUAUGUCUGCCAAUAGCUGUUCAUCCACUCUUAAUGCCUCCACUGGCAUCCCUCUUUUCGUAAAGAGAAAUCAGAGUGCCAGUGGUUUGCAGUACAAUCAAGCUUCAAGUUUCCCUCCAUCUAUAUUGCUGAGCAAUAAUAAACUAAAUGGCUCAAUUUGGCCGGAAAUUGGACAUUUGAGACAGCUCCAUGUCUUGGACUUGAGCAGGAAUAACAUAACUGGAACCAUCCCUAACUCCAUUUCGAAUAUGACAAACCUGGAGACUUUGGAUCUUUCAUACAAUGAUCUUCAUGGAUCAAUUCCUUCAUCAUUUAAUCAGCUCACUUUCCUCUCAAAGUUCAGUGUUGCUAAUAAUCAUCUCGACGGAGCAAUUCCAACGGGGGGCCAAUUCCUUAGCUUUCCCAGCUCAAGCUUUGAGGGUAAUCCUGGACUUUGUGGAAAAAUAAUUUCUCCUUGCAUUGCCAAUAAUGUUGGGUUCCGAACGACAAGCCCACCUACUGCACGUAAGAAAUUUGGUUGGAGCAGCAUACUUGGAAUAACAAUCAGCAUUGGCGUUGGAAUUGCUUUACUCCUGGCCAUUCUUCUGCUUAGGAUAUCGAGAAGAGACACUGGAGUACCAAUUGAAGAUUUGGAUGAUGAAAUCAGCAGGCCACCGAGGUUGUCUGAAGCAUUUGGACCUCCUAAGCUGGUGCUCUUUAAGAAUGCAGACUGUAAGGAUCUUACUAUCGCAGACUUACUGAAGUCAACCAACAGCUUCAACCAAUCAAACAUUAUUGGCUGUGGAGGAUUUGGUCUGGUUUAUAAGGCAGACCUACCUAAUGGUUUGAAAGCUGCAAUCAAGAGGCUUUCUGGGGAUUGUGGGCAGAUGGAACGUGAAUUUCAAGCUGAAGUCGAAGCCCUUUCUAGAGCUCAGCACAAGAACCUUGUUUCUCUUCAAGGAUACUGUCGAUACGGGAACGACAGGUUGUUAAUUUAUUCCUAUAUGGAAAAUGGAAGCUUGGAUUAUUGGUUACAUGAAAGAGUUGAUGGGAGUUCAUUCCUCAGGUGGGAUACCAGGUUGAAAAUAGCUCGAGGGGCGGCCUGUGGAUUAGCUUAUUUGCACAAGGAGCCAAAUAUAAUUCAUCGAGACAUCAAAACCAGCAAUAUUCUUUUGGAUGAGAGAUUUGAAGCUCAUUUGGCUGAUUUCGGGCUCUCAAGAUUACUUUGUCCCUAUGAUACUCAUGUAACAACAGAUUUGGUUGGCACCUUGGGAUAUAUUCCGCCUGAAUACAGUCAGACAUUAACAGCAACGUUCAGAGGUGAUGUUUACAGUUUCGGAGUUGUUCUUCUUGAGCUUCUUACCGGAAGGCGACCUGUUGAAGUUUGCAAGGGAAAGAAUUGCAGGGAUUUGGUGACAUGGGUGUUUCAGAAGAAGUCUGAGAAGAGGGAGGAGGAUAUAUUCGAUUCAUCAAUAGAUAAAGAUUGUGAAAAACAACUUAUGGAAGUGCUCAGUAUAGCUUGUAAAUGCAUAAACCAGGAUCCUAGAAGACGACCAUCCAUUGAUGAAGUUGUUUCAUGGCUAGAUGAGAUUGAGAUAGGACAAACAUAACAAUAAAUUUCAUUUUAUUUGUUUCCUUCUCGAGGAAUUUAGUUUCAUUUUCAUUUGGAAAGCGAAAUACAUAACUGUAAACCAAGAAUACUUCAGUUUACACCAAGAGGGCUGGCAGAGAACUAUGAUCCAAGUGAUUCAAUUUUAUUCUAUAAGUGCUUUGGAUACUGAGUUCUCAUUAUGUAAAUCUCAACCUCCAAAUCGGAUGGCGAAGAAAUGGAAAGUAUUACAUCCUGUUAUUGAUCUGAAGGUCCUUGUUCAUCUUUUAAUUCUGUUAUUCUAUAUUUUACUCUAGACAGUACAUAAUUUUCUGCGCUCUUUUCUUUGACAUACGGAUUGAUGAAGUUAUAUCUCCUUUUACUGAAUUAUUACUCAAUAGUAGUGAUACUUGACUUGUGCGUUUCUCGGAUAACCGUUAUUUAUUUUGUAGAAUUUUUCAUUUCUGAUAUAGCAGUUGUAGAACCUUAACAAAGGGGCAUGAUGUACACCUACAUGACAAUGCCCCUUUCCUUCUGCCAAAAGCUACACUUGUUGCUCCCACUGUCUUUAAUUUCUGUUCUUGUUUUUCUUUGUUUUGCGUAGGCACCCGAGAGUGGCUAGCAGAAAGAAAGACUCUUCCUUCGGGCCUCAGCUUAUUUUGUAUCCGAACAUUCUCGACUUAUUCGACAUAUUUGAUAUCAAACAGAACGUAAUAUUAAUGUGUUCAAAGAAGGUAAUGGCCUAUUACAAUCCAUGCAGUUUUUAGUGCUCAACUUUUUCUUGAAUUUUUUUUCACCAAAUUGAGGUUGAACUGUCUCCUUGUCAAAGGCACUGUUAAAAUCUAAUUAGUGUAGUGGGAACUGAAAGUUGAUCCGAAUAUGCUUUUUUAAUGCUCAAUGGCACCUUGACUUCAUUCACAUUGGCUGCCAUUUUUGUAGUGAUCCACCCCCAUUAAGUUUUCUAAUUGUGGCCGAUUCUUCAUAUUUUUUCCUGUAGGUGGGAUUGGCAAACAGAACCUAAAAGUCACUUUUCAAGAAGAAUAGAAUUUCUCGAUUCAAGUUGAGUGAUUGAUUGAUGCACUAAGUAUGGUUAAUGAUUUUCUUAUCUCGUGCGUUUGAUUUUAAGAGAGAUUUUUCUCCCCAGUGGAUAAACUUGUACUGAUUGACAUGCUCUUACGUAUGUGAAAGUUGAAUGUGUUAUCUUUUGUCUAUAAGAAACUCGCAUGUAAAAAAGGAUGAAAAAAUAAUUUUAUUACACCACUCAACACACUUCAUUAUCGAAGAUUGAAUUCUGGAAAGUCCUUUGAAAUAA